AUGGUCCUUCUUCCAAAAUCUCAGGCACCAACAACCCCAGACGCGUUUAGACCCAUAUCUCUUCAAAACUGCACGCCAAAAGCAGUUGCCAAAGUCCUCACCAAUAGAGUUAAACCUCUCAUCCCACUGCUCAUACAUUAUGACCAGACUGGCUUCCUUCAUGGACGUAACAUUGCUGAAAACUUUAUAUACGCUGCCGAUAUCCUCAGUGCAUGCCACUCCCGUAAAGCCCCGACCAUGAUCUUCAAGCUCGAUUUCAGGAAAGCUUUUGACUCCAUAUGCUGGUCCUCCCUCAUACAAAUUUUACAAGCCCGCGGUUUUCCCUCUGACUUCUGUUCUUGGGUACAAAAUAUCCUUCUCACUGGGAAAACAGCUAUCCUUUUAAAUGGCGUUCCAGGAUCCUGGAUUCAAUGUAGAUGUGGCCUCCGCCAAGGUGAUCCAUUCUCGCCAUACUUAUUCAUCAUCGUUGACGACGUCCUUCAACGUCUAAUCGCAAAAGCGUUCCAAACCAACGUUCUUUGUCACUCGUUACGGCCUAACGAACCACCUGUGACACUUCAAUACGCUGACGAUACACUGAUAAUUGCUGCGGCUAGCGACGCCGCCACCAUCAUCCUCAAAAACACCCUUCAUGACUUCGCCCUUGCAACGGGGCUAGUCAUCAACUUCCAAAAACGGCUCUUCUCACCAUAG
rnacentral:rRNA from 1 species